GCCACGUUGGCAGAGUGGUCUAAUGCGUCAGUCGCUCGGUAGUCCGGCAAAGCGUGGCUUUACAACAUGAUCUGGCGCGUGAUCAUGGGCGUGAGGCGGUUACCCUGUAACACAGUCUGAUCCCUUCGGGGGCGCGGGUUCGAAUCCUGCACGUGGCG
rnacentral:tRNA from 1 species